GCAGUAGAGUUUAGCUGCCUUGCCUCGCUGCAAUCUUCCCCGCGUUGCACAGCGCGAGGCUGAGGAGCUUCCCGUGAGCUCUUUGCCGUGCUGCUGUGAUCGCGCGCUGGCGUGCCAAUCAAGAGGGAGCAGCGAAAAGCAGAGUCAGCAAUUCUUCCACCUGUCUCCUGCUUAGCUGAUAACUUGCUUCCUGUUUCACUGAAAAGAAAAUAAGCAACUAGAAGAGAAUUUUCACCAGCUCUCAAGACCACAGUUGCCGGCUUGGCUGUACCUUGACUCUCUCGUUACUGUGAAAUGUCCCAACUGCCAUACAGGAUAGUAUUCUUUCUAAAUCGUCAGCUCAAGGCUGGAAUCUUGUCUGGAACAUGAGAAACAGGUGGCCAUUUCUUCAGGUCUAGUGCUCACCUUAGCAGCCUUCUUAAGAACCCAGUGGCAGAAUCAAAUUAUCAGCGGUUUUGAAG
rnacentral:lncRNA from 1 species